rnacentral:rRNA from 1 species
CGCGGCCUAUCAGCUUGUUGGCGGGGUAAUGGCCCACCAAGGCUUCGACGGGUAGCUGGUCUGAGAGGAUGGCCAGCCACAUUGGGACUGAGAGACGGCCCAGACUCCUACGGGAGGCAGCAGUGGGGAAUCUUGCGCAAUGGCCGAAAGGCUGACGCAGCGACGCCGCGUGUGGGAGGACGCCCUUCGGGGUGUAAACCACUGUUGCCCGGGACGAACAUCCACUUUCGAGUGGACUGACGGUACCGGGUGAGGAAGCACCGGCUAACUCCGUGCCAGCAGCCGCGGUAAUACGGAGGGUGCGAGCGUUGUCCGGAAUCACUGGGCGUAAAGGGCGCGUAGGCGGCGCGGAAAGUCAACGGUGAAAGCUUGGGGCUCAACCCCGAGUCGGCCGUCGAUACUUCCGUGCUCGAGCACUGUAGAGGCAGGUGGAAUUCCGGGUGUAGCGGUGGAAUGCGUAGAGAUCCGGAAGAACACCGGUGGCGAAGGCGGCCUGCUGGGCAGUAGCUGACGCUGAUGCGCGACAGCGUGGGGAGCAAACAGGAUUAGAUACCCUGGUAGUCCACGCCGUAAACGAUGGGUACUAGGUGCUUGGGGGAGCGACCCCCUGAGUGCCGGCGCUAACGCAUUAAGUACCCCGCCUGGGAGUACG